UAUUUUGAUAACUGAAAUUUGAAAAUGCUAUGGAGUUCAUUAUUCUUUUAAUUUACUGAUUUGUUUUUUUUUUAAAAAAGGAGGACUCAAUGGUUCAUUUAUCACAACGAGGUGAGAGCACGAAUAAUCUGCCUGUUAGCUUUAAGAUAUUUGAGACCUAUAACUUGAAGCAGGGAAGGAUGACUUUUGGCUAGCAGUUUUGAGUUCAGGCCAUGAUUAACAUUUUAUGUUGUUUUAGAGGCUGCAUGACGACAUGGUAAAUCCUGAUGGAGGGCACAGCACAACCGAAGCUGUUCACCUAGUAAUAGCAUUUCACUUAUCAGGGUCCCAGUAUCUCUAAGGGUACGGUAUCAGUAGCUGAACUCCCUUGUGCCAGGCUCCAAUUCAAAUAUUUUACUCCCCUUUAGCACCAUUUAACUGAAGAAAAUGUCUUUUCCAUAUAUAUCUGUGAAGGAUAGUUCAAUUCAAACAAUACUACUGUUUCAAAACUAUUACAAAUUUGGAUUCAUGCAUAUAUAGAAGUACACAGAAAAUUUUUAGUCUGCCUUUUAAAUUUCAUUCUGUUUUACCAAUUAGUUCGCUAUCUGCACAACCAAAUAAUUUAAUUAUACAGCUAUAGAAAGUGAGAUUAUGAGGAUAUCAAUGUGAUUUUUCUAGCUUUUGUGCUGAAGAAAGACCAGUGGCAGUCAUAAUACUAGUAAAAAUCAAUAUGUAUUUAUGGGAGAAUGUAAUUGCAUUUAAUGAUUUCAGUAGCUGCCUCAUAGUCCCAGGUGACAAACUUUACUUCUGUAGGUAAACUUGUAAUACUUGUUAUAUAAAUAUUUAUGAUGAUUUAUUGCUCAUAAACUCCAUGAUUGCUCAUUUUUAGAAUAGCUUAAUACAAUAUUAGUUAAUCAUUAAUUUUAAUUGAUCCAUUAUAGAAUGUGCACAUUUUAAAAAUUUCCCACAAUUCUCACUGCUCCACAGACUUGUAAAAUUUUAUAUCCCUAACUAUUUACUGUAGAAUACCAUCAUCCUAACUAGGAUUGGGUUGUUCUAAUGAUUAAAAAUCUUGACUUUCCUCU
rnacentral:lncRNA from 1 species